rnacentral:lncRNA from 1 species
GCUCUUUCGAUGCUAAGAUGAAGAAAUCAAGGUGAAGACCAACAACUUCAUCCACUUACAUGCACUUAUUGUGUGCUUGUUGCAUUCUUAAACCAAUAUAUUUGCUUUAUUUCCAGAUGCUCAUGAAGAAGAUACAGACCCUAUCAAAAGCUAGACAAAUGGAGUUUAAGAAAACAAAGAGAGAAAUUGCAAUUAGAGAAACUUAUAACACGUUUGCUUACAUAUUACUAAUUAUUAAUGCCUUGCUGAUAACAUCGUCGUCUUUAUUAUUGUUUCUAACUGAUAUUAUAGUUAGACAUGAGAGCUCAAUGAUAAUUACUUAGUUGCAAGAGGGUCAAACGAUACCAAAUUUAGGAUAUAAAUCAGGAAACGAAUAUUUCUUCUGGCAUCGAGGUUUUCCUCUACAUACAACAGAUACGAGUUUGGGAGAAGAUAACACUGAGGAAAAAUUCAUAAGUAGAAUGAAAAUCUCUUAAGAAUUUCCUAAGUGGGUAUAGAGCAAUAACAGCAAGGCAUAAUACUCAUGGCAUUAUGAGGGUGUUUUCGGUGAGUAGACUAACAUAGGUGGUAAAUGUUAGUGAAGAAAUUACCUAUCAAUAUUGAAUCUUUGUUGGAGUGUAGAGUUUGAGCCUCUUCCAAAAUAGUUAUCGCCAAAUUCAGAAAGAAUUCUUGUGAAAUCAUAACAUAGUAUAAGAGCAAUUAAAUAUCUUGACCUAAAAGUUUUCUAUAGUGUGUGCUCUAUUUCUUCAUCUUCUAGUGACAAAAAAGGAACGCUAUUCUGUAAAGAUAUUUGAUUGCUCUUUUAAACUAUGGUAUAGGC